rfam:Hanseniaspora valbyensis NRRL Y-1626 HANVAscaffold_12, whole genome shotgun sequence.
GGUUGUUUGGCCGAGCGGUCUAAGGCGUCCGAUUCAAGUAAUUAGAAUUUGCUUUUCUUACUAAGUAGGAAUACUCGGAUAUCGUAAGAUGCAAGAGUUCGAAUCUCUUAGCAACCA